UACGUAGGGUGCAAGCGUUGUCCGGAAUUAUUGGGCGUAAAGAGCUCGUAGGCGGUUUGUCGCGUCUGCCGUGAAAGUCCGGGGCUCAACUCCGGAUCUGCGGUGGGUACGGGCAGACUAGAGUGAUGUAGGGGAGACUGGAAUUCCUGGUGUAGCGGUGAGAUGCGCAGAUAUCAGGAGGAACACCGAUGGCGAAGGCAGGUCUCUGGGCAUUAACUGACGCUGAGGAGCGAAAGCAUGGGGAGCGAACAGG
rnacentral:rRNA from 1 species